rnacentral:rRNA from 1 species
CAGCAGCCGCGGUAAUACGGAGGGUGCAAGCGUUAUCCGGAUUUAUUGGGUUUAAAGGGUCCGUAGGCGGAUCUGUAAGUCAGUGGUGAAAUCUCACAGCUUAACUGUGAAACUGCCAUUGAUACUGCAGGUCUUGAGUAAAUUUGAAGUGGCUGGAAUAAGUAGUGUAGCGGUGAAAUGCAUAGAUAUUACUUAGAACACCAAUUGCGAAGGCAGGUCACUAAGAUUUAACUGACGCUGAUGGACGAAAGCGUGGGGAGCGAACAGGAUUAGAGACCCGCGUAGUCCAUGUCUCUUAUAA